UACGAAGGGGGCUAGCGUUGUUCGGAAUCACUGGGCGUAAAGCGCACGUAGGCGGAUUGCUAAGUCAGGGGUGAAAUCCUGGAGCUCAACUCCAGAACUGCCCUUGAUACUGGCGGUCUCGAGUCCGGGAGAGGUGAGUGGAACUGCGAAGUGUAGAGGUGAAAUUCGUAGAUAUUCGCAAGAACACCAGUGGCGAAGGCGGCUCACUGGCCCGGUACUGACGCUGAGGUGCGAAAGCGUGGGGAGCAAACAGG
rnacentral:rRNA from 1 species